GGGCACCUCUCACUUAGGCAGG
rnacentral:miRNA from 1 species